rnacentral:rRNA from 1 species
UACGGAGGGGGCGAGCGUUGUUCGGAAUUACUGGGCGUAAAGGGCGCGUAGGCGGCCCAUCAAGUUAGGCGUGAAAGCCCCGGGCUCAACCUGGGAAUUGCGUUUAAGACUGGUGAGCUAGAGUAUGGUAGAGGGUGGUGGAAUUUCCUGUGUAGCGGUGAAAUGCGUAGAUAUAGGAAGGAACACCAGUGGCGAAGGCGACCACCUGGACUGAUACUGACACUGAGGUGCGAAAGCGUGGGGAGCAAACAGGAUUAGAAA